rnacentral:rRNA from 1 species
UGCGUAGGGGGCGAGCGUUGUCCGGAAUUAUUGGGCGUAAAGGGCGUGUAGACGGUCAUAUAAGUUACAGGUGAAAGCCCAUUUUUCAAGGAUGGAACUGCCUGUAAGACUGUAAGACUUGAGUGCAGGAGAGGGAAGCGGAAUUCCAAGUGUAGCGGUGAAAUGCGUAGAUAUUUGGAGGAACACCAGUGGCGAAGGCGGCUUUCUGGACUGCAACUGACGUUGAGGCGCGAAAGCGUGGGGAGCAAACAGG